rnacentral:rRNA from 1 species
GUCGAGCGGGCAUAGCAAUAUGUCAGCGGCAGACGGGUGAGUAACGCGUGGGAACGUACCUUUUGGUUCGGAACAACUGAGGGAAACUUCAGCUAAUACCGGAUAAGCCCUUACGGGGAAAGAUUUAUCGCCGAAAGAUCGGCCCGCGUCUGAUUAGCUAGUUGGUGAGGUAAUGGCUCACCAAGGCGACGAUCAGUAGCUGGUCUGAGAGGAUGAUCAGCCACAUUGGGACUGAGACACGGCCCAAACUCCUACGGGAGGCAGCAGUGGGGAAUAUUGGACAAUGGGCGCAAGCCUGAUCCAGCCAUGCCGCGUGAGUGAUGAAGGCCCUAGGGUUGUAAAGCUCUUUUGUGCGGGAAGAUAAUGACGGUACCGCAAGAAUAAGCCCCGGCUAACUUCGUGCCAGCAGCCGCGGUAAUACGAAGGGGGCUAGCGUUGCUCGGAAUCACUGGGCGUAAAGGGUGCGUAGGCGGGUCUUUAAGUCAGGGGUGAAAUCCUGGAGCUCAACUCCAGAACUGCCUUUGAUACUGAAGAUCUUGAGUUCGGGAGAGGUGAGUGGAACUGCGAGUGUAGAGGUGAAAUUCGUAGAUAUUCGCAAGAACACCAGUGGCGAA